rnacentral:rRNA from 1 species
GGCUCCUUGAAAAAAAUUUUAUAGGGAGUCUUACCUGCCCAGUGAAAUAAUCUUUAACGGCCGCGGUACUCUGACCGUGCAAAGGUAGCAUAAUCAUUUGCCUUAUAAUUGAAGGCUAGUAUGAAAGGUUUGAUGAGGGCUGAGCUGGCUCCUGUUAAUUAAAAUGAAAUUGUCUUUCAGGUGCAAAGACCUAAAUUGAAUUAAAAGACAAGAAGACCCUAUUGAGCUUUAAAAAUUUUAUGGUAUAUAAUGCUACGGUUUAGCUGGAUGCUAGCUCAUUAAUUUUUUUAGUUGGGGCGACUCUGGAACAAUUAAAGCUUCCAGAAAUAUAUUAAAUGGUUAACUUUAUAUUUAUCCAAAUAUGAUCCAAAAUAUUUUGAUUAAUGGAAUAAGUUACCAUAGGGAUAACAGCAUAAUCUUUUUUGAGAGCUCUAAUCGAAAAAAAGGUUUGUGACCUCGAUGUUGGACUAGAAUAUCCUACGGGCGCAGAAGCUCUUAAAGGUUGGUCUGUUCGACCAUUAAAAUUCU